rnacentral:rRNA from 1 species
GACGAACCGAGCGAACGUUGUUCGGAAUCACUGGGCUUAAAGGGCGCGUAGGCGGGCUGUCAAGUCUGGGGUGAAAUCCCACGGCUCAACCGUGGAACUGCCUUAGAUACUGACGGCCUCGAGGGAGAUAGGGGCGAGCGGAACUGUGAGUGGAGCGGUGAAAUGCGUUGAUAUUCACAGGAACUCCAGUGGCGAAGGCGGCUCGCUGGAUCUUUUCUGACGCUGAGGCGCGAAAGCUAGGGGAGCAAACGGG